rnacentral:ncRNA from 1 species
AAACUAAAGAGUUUGAUCCUGGCUCAGAUUGAACGCUGGCGGCAUGCCUUACACAUGCAAGUCGAACGGCAGCACGGAGCUUGCUCUGGUGGCGAGUGGCGAACGGGUGAGUAAAAUAUCGGAACGUACCCAGGAGUGGGGGAUAAC